GCCAGCACCGGGGCUGGCAUCUACCGACAGCAGGGACCCCGGGGCGGCCGUGAAGCCGAAACGGCACGGUCCAGCCCGCCAUCGAGUCUAGAGCUGUGAGGGUCCUCCUCAUCCUGCCCUCUCCCAGACCAGGUUGGCAAAACUUUAUUCCCGCCCCACCCGACGCGCCUAGAACUGCUGAGAUGAGGGAACUGAGGUGCACAGAGGUAAAGCCACUCAACCAAGGCGUGACAGCUGGCAGCUGGUGGCACUGGCACUUGAACCCACGUGGUCUGAACUCCAUACCACUUCAUGGUUCCUAGGUGACUCUGCUGCUGGUGGUCUGCGGGCCACACCUUGGGAACUGAGCAGGAAGAAAACAAUUAUGAGAUCGUAUGUCAACUCGCACAAGAUGUGAAUCCGCAGCAGAAGCCAAAAUGACCGGAGCUAUUUCUAGCACCCUCAUUAAAAACACUGAAGUUGCCUACAUCAGCACCUCUGGACCCCAGGGAUGUGCCCUAGAGAAACUCCUGCCCAUUGCCCGAGGAGACUCAGACAAGGAGUGUUCACCACGAGAAGUCAGAUUCCUUCCCUGUUGAUGGUGAUGAUGAUGAUGGUGAUGAUGGCCAUGGUACCGGUAAGAGUGGCUCUCACUUCCAAGUGUGCUUGGGAAGUCACUUCUGAGACUUGGGAAGGUCGCUUUGGCAACCUUCACCUUCUACUCUGGAGUCACCAGAACCACCAUCUACCUACAGCAGAGUCUAGUGGACUGGUGGUUCUCAAGUCUACACUGCAACCACCAGGGGAGCUUUAAAAAAAUCCUGGUGCUCAGGUCCCAGCCCAAAACAACUGAAUCAUAGUCUCUCGGGGUGGGACCCAGAAAUCAGUAUUUUUAAAAAAUCUCCCCAAGUCACCGUAAUGUCUGGCUAGGGCUGAAGAUGAGUGCAGUGGAUGACCAGAUGAAGGAGGAAAGGUGGGCACUUCUUCUUCACACCGUGCCUCUAUGACAUCCUCGGUGUCUGACUUAUAAGCCCUGAAGAGCAUUUCUGUUCUGCCUGCUUUCCACAGCCACUAAUGAAAAUCGAUACUGAAGCAACAAAGAUGUCCUGCAGCUGAAUGGAUAAAUCAACUGUGGUACAUCCAGGUGAUGGAAUAUUAUUUAGCACUAAAAAAGAAAAAUGAGCUACCAAGUCAUGAAAAGACAUGGAGGAAACUUAAAUGCAUGUUAUUAAGGGAAAGAAGCCAAUCGGAAAAGGCUACAUCCUGUAUGAUUCCAACUAUAUAACAUUCUGGAGAAGGCACAUCUGUGGCAACAGUAAAGAGAUCAUUGGUUGUCAGGGGCUGGGGGAAGGAGUGACCGGUGAAUAGGUGGAGCACAGAGGAUGUUUCGGGCAGUGGAAAUACUCUGAAUGACACUACAAUGGUGGAGUCCAUGCCAUUUCCCCAGGACCUGUGGUUUGUUCUGACCUGCAGUUCUACAUCUGCACACGUGGAACACUCCCCUUGGAAUCCAGCGGCUGAGGCCUGAGAAGCAAGAGCUAAAUGUUGUUCUGCAGAAACUAAGACACCCCCCCAACCCACCCCUGUGGAGGAUGGUGACUACAUGCUGACCACAAGCCUGUAGACUCCGUACUGGUUGGAACCAGAAGGUGGAUGGUUGAGAUUCCUGAAACAUCACCCUGUGACCUCACGACCAGCCAACCAGAAGAAGGUCCAUGAGCCGGUCACGCAUCCUGCAACUCCUAAUGUUGCCUUUCAAAACCCUCACCUGACAGCCGUUGCGAAGGUCUUUUGAGCCCAGCUGCCUGUUCUCCUUGUUUGGUGCCCUGCAAUAAACGCUGCACUUUCCUUCACCACAA